GAACUUGCCUCUUGGACUGGGACAACUGUUGGAAACGACAGCUAAUACCGGAUAUUAUGAGAUUCUCGCAUGAGAAAUUUAUGAAAGCUAUAUGCGCCAAGAGAGAGCCUUGCGUUCCAUUAGCUAGUUGGUGGGGUAACGGCCCACCAAGGCGACGAUGGAUAGCCGGCCUGAGAGGGUGAACGGCCACAAGGGGACUGAGACACGGCCCUUACUCCUACGGGAGGCAGCAGUGGGGAAUAUUGGACAAUGGGCCACAAGCCUGAUCCAGCAAUUCUGUGUGCACGAUGAAGGUCUUCGGAUUGUAAAGUGCUUUCAGUUGGGAAGAAGAAAGUGACGGUACCAACAGAAGAAGCGACGGCUAAAUACGUGCCAGCAGCCGCGGUAAUACGUAUGUCGCAAGCGUUAUCCGGAUUUAUUGGGCGUAAAGCGCGUCUAGGCGGAAAAAUAAGUCUGAUGUUAAAAUGCGGGGCUCAACUCCGUAUUGCGUUGGAAACUGUUUUUCUAGAGUACUGGAGAGGUGGGCGGAACUACAAGUGUAGAGGUGAAAUUCGUAGAUAUUUGUAGGAAUGCCGAUGGAGAAGUCAGCUCACUGGACAGAUACUGACGCUGAAGCGCGAAAGCGUGGG
rnacentral:rRNA from 1 species